UGGAAUCUUUAAAUAAAGUUAUCAAUAAUAUUUUUUUUAGUUUGGUAGUUCAUCUAAUGAAAAUUAAAUUAGAAAAUUAAAUUCAUCAUUUACUCUUUUCUAUAUUGUCUUUUCUUUUUCAUAGAUAACAGUUAUAAAAAUUUACAAUUAUAAGCACACUAUAAAUAUUGGCUAGAGUAGAGUGAAAAAUUUGUUAGGUUUUUGGUCAAUAAUAUUGUUUCUUUUCUUGCUUUCCCAAUUAGAUUACCUUAUUCUCCUUUUCUUUUUCUUUGUCAUGCAUUCAUAGCGUCCCAGUUUUUUAUUUUUUUAGCCAAUUCACAUCAUUAUCCUUCAUGGAAAAAGUAGAUUUAUCUGAUCAAAUUAAUAUAUUCAUUUGAUUAGAGAAUAAGAUAAUCAAUUAAAAACUUAGUGUAAGUUAACCAAUUGGUUUUUUUUUCUUUAUAUUUUUCUAUUAAUUUUUAAUACACAAUGCCACCAAGAUUUGAUAUGUUCAUCUAUAGAUAAUUUAUUAUUACACAUAUAUGAUAUAGUACAUAUUUUUAUAUAGGCAGAAAAUAAUCCCCCGUAUCAUAUUUGAUACACUUAGGGCCCGUUUGGAUUGGGUAUAAAUUAAAAUUUUUAAAUUUGCUAAAAUACUACAAAUUAUUUAUUAAAAUUUGUAUAAAUUAAAAUAUUUAAAUUUGAUAAAAUAUUAUUUACCCGCCGCAAAGCGCGGGCCCUACACUAGUAUAUCAUGGAGGUUUAAUUUAAUUAAAUACAGUUGCUUUUGGGAGUGUGAUAGGAAAAAUGAAUGGUCUUGUUUUUUUUUUUUUAUAAAAUAUAUAGAUUAAUCUAUCUCUAAUUUAUUGUAUAUCUUUAUUAUUUUGCAUGUAUAUUUGUUAAAGGCUCUAAUUGGGAUUGCGAAAAAAUUAUGUUACGUGCGAUUAGAAAGUAUAAUAAAAAAUGCUGAAAUACAAAAAGCUUAUAUAUGUAAAUAGUCGGUUUUUUUUUUUUCUUCUAGCUUUAAAAACCUGCAUUUUACCUCCCAAAAAUUUCAAGUUGAUGCAUUUAAUCUCUAUCUGUCAAGGUUUUGUCACUACUCCGUAUAUUGCUUAUAAUUUAUACUGAAAAUAUGGUUAAAAAUGGCAAAAAUAUAUUAAAAAAUUACGUUUUAUAGAACAAGUGUAAUUUGGUUGUUUCACCAUCUCUAUUAACGUUGUAAUUUUGUAAUCUCUUGCAAAUAUUUUUGAAAUUUU
rnacentral:lncRNA from 1 species